AGAACAAUCUCGGAUGCGUUCAGGAGAGGAAAGCGGCGGACGGGUGAGUAACGCGUAGGCAACCUGCCCCUGGCAGAGGGAUAGCCAUUGGAAACGAUGAUUAAAACCUCAUAAAGCUCAAAGAGCACAUGCUCAUUGAGCCAAAGAUUUAUCGGGCUGGGGAUGGGCCUGCGUCUGAUUAACUAGUUGGUGAGGUAACGGCCCACCAAGGUGACGAUCAGUAGCCGACCUGAGAGGGUGAUCGGCCACAUUGGAACUGAGACACGGUCCAAACUUCUACGGAAGGCAGCAGUAAGGAAUCUUGCACAAUGGGGGAAACCCUGAUGACCAGCAACGCCGCGUGAACGAUGAAGGCCUUAGGGUUGUAAAGUUCUGAUCUGUGGGAAGAAGAAAGUGACGGUACCACAGGAGAAAGCCCCGGCUAAAUACGUGCCAGCCGCUGC
rnacentral:rRNA from 1 species